GCACAAUGAAAGGCUCUGAAAGUGACAGUGUUUUCUGGAUAACACAUUGAACUAUUUUGCUAUUGCUUUCAGACUUCAGAGGAGAAAAACGUACUUGUGCUGGGUAUGCAAGUGAAGGCUGCAUGGUGUGUGUGACUUCAGACUGCAAAACAAUACAAGAGUUCCAGUUGGACUAUUGAAAAAGUGCGAUCUAGAUUUUUAAAAUGUGCAAUAAAGAAGACAGCAAAGAGAUGGGCAUGAAGUGAAUUGCUAUUUUAAGUGCAGUCACAGAGUGUGAUAUGUGGGGUGUGCAAGGCAGCAGGCAGUGGGUUGAUGGUGUUGCUAGGAUUGAGAAAGGACAGGUCACACUUCAUCAUGACCUGUCAUCACUUUGUGAUUAAGAUUAGCAAUUUAAUCCUUCAGAAAAUGCAGAGUCAUUGAUGAUAGAAGAGCUAUUAUUUUAGGUGGCAUUUGAAAUAACCCUGCAGGAGAGGAAACAACAGGUGUAAAGUUGUAGAAAUAGGACACAGAGACAGCUCAGGAAGUUAUUGAAAAAUUCUGUGAGAUAUAGUAAUACCAGAAAUAAAGAUUCUUGCUGAUUCUGACCAUAAAGAAUGUGAGUGUAUAUCAUAAAAUGCCAAUAAUUAGAACAUAUUCUUUUUCCCUUUGGACUGGUAAAUAAAUAUAAAGAAGUUACAUUUUGUUUUUCCUUAACAAACAUUGAAAAAGCUUGUUUCAUGAUUAACUAUUAACACUCUAAUGUGCUGUUACUAAUAUAUCCAGUAUUUGUUCACCCGAGUCUUACCUAGAAGGUCAUUCUGGGGUAUCCACUUAUAGAGCCGAGUAUUGACACCUAAGGUAUCUGGUUUAUUCCCAUCAAAUCUCCACAGAACCUGUUACAGUAAAGAAAAUAUCUUAUUCCAUGAGUGGAAUUCAAAACUUAUAGAAUGUUCAAACUUUAAAAAGAGAAAAAGAGUAGGAAUGAGAUCAAGGGAUGUUAGUAAAUCAGAACUACUCAAAGACUGAUGUAAAUAGAAUACUCACUUUUAAUUUUGGCCAACUUCACAUUUGUCAGAAGUUUCUAUAAUUGGAUUACUUACAAACUUUAGCAGCCUCUUUCAGUAGUUUUCCACACCAAUAAGACACUUCAUCUUACCUUUUGUGGAAUCUGGGCAAGGGCUGAUGCAAUUACGUUGGCCCUUUCUUCUUUCAUGUUAGUGAUCAUUGACCCCAGAGUAAACACCACAACACCGUUUUCUCCAGAGCUCUGUACAAAUUCUUCCAUUUCCUGUGAAAAAGAAUUUGUUUCAUCACAAAAGAAUAACAGCAAAGCAGGCACUACUGAAAGAAUUGGUACAAGUUACUAAAGAGAGAAAAUCAGAGGCAGCAUUUGCAUCAGAAUAGAAGAGGCCACCAGGUCUUUCUGCAGGGGAGGUCUUGUCUCUCUUUUGAGUAGCUCACUCACACUACAUCACACUCCUCAUGAAGAUGUGCUUGGCUGCAAUCGAUUGAGAAUUAUUCUGACUUGCGUUCUCCAAUGUAAGCCAAUAUUUAAACUUAAAUACUUUCAGAUUUAAUCAUUGUGGUAAAACUUUUCCUAACGGUUCUUAAUAAAACAAAGAAAAAAGUCCAAAUGUUAA